UACAUAGGUCCCAAGCGUUAUCCGGAAUUACUGGGCGUAAAGCGUCUGCAGGUGGAAAAGUGUGUGAGAUGUGAAAGACCGGGGCUCAACCCCGCGUUUGUAUCUCAAACUGCUUUUCUCGAGUGAGCAAGAGGUAUGCGGAAUUUAUGGAGUAGGAAUGCAAUCCGUUGACACCAUAAAGAACACCAAAAGCGAAGGCAGCAUACUGGGGCUCUACUGACACUCAGAGACGAAAGCGUGGGGAGCGAAAGGG
rnacentral:rRNA from 1 species